GCCAGUGUGGGAUAGUGAUUUGAGCAUUGGACUGUGACUCCAGAGACUAGGGUUCGAAUCCCCACAGAAACU